AGCGAACGCUGGCAGCAGGCUUAACACAUGCAAGUCGAACGAUAAGCUAAACUUCAAUUUAGUGGACACUGGCAGACGGGUGAGUAACGCGUGGGAAUCUACCUUUGAAUGAGGAAUAACAAUUAGAAAUGAUUGCUAAUACCGCAUACACCCUCCGGGGGAAAGGCUUCCGCCGCUCUUAUAUGACCCCGCGUACGAUUAGUUUGUUAGUGAGGUAAAAUCUCACCAACACUACGAUCGAUAGCUGGUUUGAGAGGAUGAUCACCCACACUGGGACUGACACACGGCCCAGACUCCUACGGGAGGCAGCACUGGGGAAUAUUGGACAAUGGGCAAAAGCCUGAUCCAGCCAUGCCGCGUGAGUGAAUAAGGCCUAAUGGUUGUAAAACUCUUUCGACAGGGAACAUAAUGACGGUACCUGUAUAAGAAGCUCCGGCUAACUCCUUGCCAGCUGCCGCGGUAAUACCGAGUGGGGCAAGCGUUGCUCGGAAUUACUGGGCGUAGAAGCGAGCGUAGGACGGUUAAUCAAGUUGGUGGUGAAAGCCCGGAGCUCAACUCCGGAACUGCCAUCAAAACUGAUUAACUUGAGAUUGGUAGAGGAAAAUGGAAUUCCUAGUGUAGAGGUGAAAUUCGUAGAUAUUGGGAAGAACAUCGGUGGCGAAGGCGAUUUUCUGGGCCAUAUCUGACGCUGAGGUUCGAAAGCGUGGGUAGCAAACAGGAUUAGAUACCCUGGUAGUCCACGCCGUAAACGAUGAGUGCUAGACGUUGGAAAUUAAUUUUUCAGUGCCGUAGUUAACGCAUUAAGCACUCCGCCUGGGGAGUACGGUCGCAAGAUUAAAACUCAAAGGAAUUGACGGGGGCCCGCACAAGCGGUGGAGCAUGUGGUUUAAUUCGACGCAACGCGAAAAACCUUACCAGCUCUUGACAUUGCUAAGUCGCGAGUUUUAGAGAUAAAACUCUUCAGUUCGGCUGGACUUAGUACAGGUGCUGCAUGGCUGUCGUCAGCUCGUGUCGUGAGAUGUUGGGUUAAGUCCCGCAACGAGCGCAACCCUUGUCCUUAGUUGCCAGCAAUUCGGUUGGGCACUCUAGGGAGACUGCCGGUGAUAAACCGGAGGAAGGCGGGGAUGACGUCAAGUCCUCAUGGCCCUUACGGGCUGGGCUACACACGUGCUACAAUGGCGUCUACAAUGGGUCGCAAUAGGGCAACCUAAAGCUAAUCUCAAAAAGACGUCUCAGUUCGGAUUGUACUCUGCAACUCGAGUACAUGAAGUUGGAAUCGCUAGUAAUCGCGGAUCAGAACGCCGCGGUGAAUACGUUCCCGGGCCUU
rnacentral:rRNA from 1 species